rnacentral:rRNA from 1 species
UACAGAGGGUGCGAGCGUUAAUCGGAAUUACUGGGCUUAAAGGGUGCGUAGGCGGCCAUGUAAGUGAGGUGUGAAAUCCCUCGGCUCAACCCGAGGAACUGCGCUUCAUACUGCAUGGCUUGAGGGAGACAGGGGUCAGCGGAACUGAUGGUGGAGCGGUGAAAUGCGUUGAUAUCAUCAGGAACACCGGUGGCGAAGGCGGGUCUCUGGGCCGAUACUGACGCUGAGGAGCGAAAGCGUGGGGAGCGAACAGG